UUUCCCUUACAUUACAUCAUAUCAGCAAACAUGUCUUAUUUCUAGUCUUUCAGUGUCCUCUUCUUCUCUAGGGUUUUCUGCAGGGGACUACUAGAGCUUCGAGAGUUCAAACCUUAGCUUCCUCACUUAGUCACUCUCACUUUUCUAGCUUGGAAAACAUGAGCAUACCAGUUAACCCAAAACCUUUCUUGAACAAUUUGACCGGAAAGACUGUUUUUGUAAAGCUAAAAUGGGGAAUGGAGUACAAAGGUUUUCUGGUCUCCGUGGAUUCGUACAUGAAUUUGCAGUUGGCCAAUACUGAAGAGUACAUUGAUGGACAAUUCACUGGAAAUCUUGGUGAAAUUUUGAUCCGAUGUAACAAUGUUCUUUAUCUUCGUGGAGUACCGGAGGAUGAAGAAAUUGAAGAUGCUGAGCGAGAAUGAAUAGCAGCUCGUUUAGCUCUGUGGUUUAUGUCGAAGAUACCAUCAUAUGAGGCAAGUUCGUCAUUUAUAGUAAGAGCCACUGAAGAUAAUCAUGCUGAAAGUGGCUAAUGCACUAGUCGUAGUCAGGCAAUUGCAAGGGAAAAAGAUGAGCAUGGUAACUAGAGAGAAAGGUUUUGUAAAUCAACACUUGUAUUCAAACGAUGCACCAUAAAUUUGUCAAUGGUAUUUCGUUACUUUUCUGCUCUGUAAAGAGUGUUGGGGCUGGAUUGAGGUGUUUGAAGUUCUAUUUGUUGAUUUUGUUUAUUUUCCCAUCUGAUGUUAACGUUCAAUAUAUAAAUGUGUUCAGCUGGAGAAAGGAAAAAAAUGGUUCAUGGGAUACACAGAUAAGUCAAUGUCAAUUUGUAAUAUGAAACUUUCACUCUCAAAGUCAUAACCCCUUUC